rnacentral:rRNA from 1 species
UGCGUAGGCGGUCGGGUAAGUCGGAUGUGAAAUCUCAGGGCUCAACCCUGAAACUGCAUUCGAUACUGCCUGGCUAGGGUACUGGAGAGGAGACUGGAAUUCACGGUGUAGCAGUGAAAUGCGUAGAUAUCGUGAGGAAGACCAGUGGCGAAGGCGAUUCUCUGGGCAAUUCCUGACACUGAGGCACAAGGGCCAGGGGAGCAAACG